rnacentral:rRNA from 1 species
GACGAACCGUGCGCACGUUAUUCGGAAUCACUGGGCUUAAAGCGCGUGUAGGCGGAUGAGCACGUCUGUCGCUGAAAUCCCCCGGCUCAACCGGGGAACUGGCGGAGAUACGGCUCGUCUGGAGGGGCGUAGGGGGACCUGGAACUUCCGGUGGAGCGGUGAAAUGCGCAGAUAUCAGGAGGAACACCGGUGGCGAAGGCGGGUCUCUGGGCCAUUACUGACGCUGAGGAGCGAAAGCGUGGGGAGCGAACAGG